GAAAGGACUGCAAGCAGAAGGGAAAACACGGGGAAUAUUUCAAAGAAUAACAGUUUUCUUGAAAUGUGAUCAUUCAGAAAUAAGUGAGGUUAAAGUCAUUUAGAAAAUCUGACGUGGCCCAGACAUUCGUCUUCAUCGACAUCCAGGAGUUCCUUAUUGACCGAGGCGGGAACAGUCUUUCUUUUCAGCGGCUCGCGCGACAAACAGCAACAGGUUAAGCAGGUUAAAGCGAAAGCCUCCGUUUUUAAACACAAUUUGUCCGAGUCCAGCGGUGGCUGCAUUUCAUUGGGUCUUCUCCUCAUUGGUAGCACGUGUGUGCUGCAGCGAUUACAAUAGCAAGCUCUGUCUCAGUAGUGUUUAUGACCUUCUUUUAUUUGAUUUAUCUAUUUCCUGUUGUUCCAUCACCGUAAGCCUUUAAAUUAGCUCAGAGGGCCAGUUUGGGAAUGUGAUGCUUGAAAUGUGGCUGGACUGAAGCGUCUGUCAACAAAACACGGCUUUUAUUUUGUCAAAUGUUUGAUUCAGCCUCUUUAUUCGUUGGAGCUUCGGAUCCAUUGAAGGAGAUGUUGGCCUUCAGUAGCAGAGACAGAUGGGACACAUAGACUCUCUCUGACUCCAGCAGCUCCAGCGCGGCCCGUUGUCGCUUAUCUGCACGUAUAAAAACACAACAUCCAACACAAACUGUAACUAUAGUCACAUUUACUCUGUAACCUCGAGGACUUGUUCUGUUUCAGAACGAUGCUACUCAAGAUUCCCAAGUAAGAAGUCUAAAAAUACCAAAUAGAUGGUGAAAUUAUUUGAAAGAAUCUCCUCAUUUUGGUGAGAAAAAAAAA